rnacentral:rRNA from 1 species
UAGUAAACAGAAGCCUCGGUGGAAGAUUACUAAUGAGAGUGGCGAACGGGUGAGUAACGCGUGAGCAACCUGCCUAUGACAGUGGGAUAGCCUCGGGAAACCGGGAUUAAUACCGCAUAAAAUCGUAGAAACACAUGUUUCAACGGUCAAAGAUUUAUCGGUCAUAGAUGGGCUCGCGUCUGAUUAGCUAGUUGGUGAGAUAACAGCCCACCAAGGCGACGAUCAGUAGCCGGUCUGAGAGGAUGAACGGCCACAUUGGAACUGAGACACGGUCCAAACUCCUACGGGAGGCAGCAGUGGGGAAUAUUGCACAAUGGGGGAAACCCUGAUGCAGCGACGCCGCGUGAACGAAGAAGGUAUUCGUAUCGUAAAGUUCUGUCCUAUGGGAAGAUAAUGACAGUACCAUAGAA